CGGAACGUGUCCUGUAGUGGGGGAUAGCCCGGCGAAAGCCGGAUUAAUACCGCAUACGAUCUACGGAUGAAAGCGGGGGAUCUUCGGACCUCGCGCUAUAGGGGCGGCCGAUGGCGGAUUAGCUAGUUGGUGAGGUAAAGGCUCACCAAGGCGACGAUCCGUAGCUGGUCUGAGAGGACGACCAGCCACACUGGGACUGAGACACGGCCCAGACUCCUACGGGAGGCAGCAGUGGGGAAUUUUGGACAAUGGGCGAAAGCCUGAUCCAGCAAUGCCGCGUGUGUGAAGAAGGCCUUCGGGUUGUAAAGCACUUUUGUCCGGAAAGAAAUCCCUGGUCCUAAUAUGGCCGGGGGAUGACGGUACCGGAAGAAUAAGCACCGGCUAACUACGUGCCAGCAGCCGCGGUAAUACGUAGGGUGCAAGCGUUAAUCGGAAUUACUGGGCGUAAAGCGUGCGCAGGCGGUGAUGUAAGACCGAUGUGAAAUCCCCGGGCUCAACCUGGGAACUGCAUUGGUGACUGCAUCGCUUGAGUAUGGCAGAGGGGGGUAGAAUUCCACGUGUAGCAGUGAAAUGCGUAGAGAUGUGGAGGAAUACCGAUGGCGAAGGCAGCCCCCUGGGUCAAUACUGACGCUCAUGCACGAAAGCGUGGGGAGCAAACAGGAUUAGAUACCCUGGUAGUCCACGCCCUAAACGAUGUCAACUGGUUGUCGGGUCUUCAUUGACUUGGUAACGUAGCUAACGCGUGAAGUUGACCGCCUGGGGAGUACGGUCGCAAGAUUAAAACUCAAAGGAAUUGACGGGGACCCGCACAAGCGGUGGAUGAUGUGGAUUAAUUCGAUGCAACGCGAAAAACCUUACCUACCCUUGACAUGUACGGAAUUCCGCUGAAAAGUGGAAGUGCCCGAAAGGGAGCCGUAACACAGGUGCUGCAUGGCUGUCGUCAGCUCGUGUCGGGAAAUGUUGGGUUAAGUCCCGCAACGAGGGCAACC
rnacentral:rRNA from 1 species